AUGAAAAUCGUAAGUUGGAACUGCCGGGGACUCGGGAACGGCCCGACAGUUCGGUCUCUCCUUGAGCUAGGGAGAGUGGAGGAACCCAACAUAUUGUUCUUAGCAGAAACACGGCUGACGGAGAAGGAAUUGGACAUAUUUUGUUGGAUGUUAGGGCUCGCUAACAUGAUGGCGUGGAAUCCAGUUGGGAGGAGUAGAGGCAUAGCGAUGUUCUGGAAAAGGAGACACAUUGAUGUGGAUGUGAAGGAGGAGAAUGGGUCGGUUUGGCGGUUAACAGGCGUUUAUGGGGAGUCAUCCACGGAGAGGAAGAAGGAAACAUGGAGAACUCUCAGGCUACUUAAACAGCAGCAUCAACAAGACCGACCAUGGUUGUGUCUAGGAGACUUUAACGAGAUUCUAUCGGGAGUUGAGAAGGUUGGUGGCGCUGACCGUUCACAAGGUAUGAUGGAUGGCUUUAGGGACGCUCUGAGUUUUUGUGACUUGGCUGACUUGGGCUUCGAAGGAGACAUUUUUACCUGGCGGAAUCAUAGCAAGGAGCUGAGUUCUUAUAUUUGUGAAAGACUGGAUAGGGCGACUUCUAAUGAUAAAUGGCGUGAUAAAUUCCCCGAGUUUACUGUUGUCAACGGUAUGCCGAGGCAUUCUGAUCACAGGCUUGUAAUUGUAUGUACGGAAGGGGUGGAUAGAAGUUGGAAGGGAGGAGAUCGUGGAUUCCGGUUCGAGGCACGCUGGCUCCAAGAGGAAGGGUGUGAGGAGGUGAUUCGGGAGGCGUGGGAGAGAAGCCGGUUAAUAGGGAAGGAGGAGUAG
rnacentral:rRNA from 1 species